UCUUGCCUUCAGCCAUGUUUACACGGCACUGUCAGUAUACUACUGGCUUAGCUCGCUAGUUUUAGAUUAACUGCUAGUUGAUUAACUUAAAUAAGCGAAUGAUUUUUACUUAUAAAAUAUCCAUAUUUUCAUUCCACUUCCACGUCGAAGAGGUCCAACACAAAUCUGUAAACAUCUCCAGCUUGCAAUAAUUGCGAGUGAAGAGUGUGGCACUGCCAUCAGCCAAUCAGCGACUGCCAUUGAGAAAGAAAGUGAGUGGUGAUGGAGAAUAUGUCCAGCUUGGGAUAGUCGCUAGUGAGGAACUUGGCACUGCCAUGAAUGCGAACGCUGACAGAUUCCUCCAGCCACACAAUCCAGUUGUGAUCAGAGGUCUGGCUCGUGGCCUAACGGCUUGCAGGACCCCAGAACCGUGCACAUAUGGGACGGAUCAAGAGGGUGUUUCUUGUGGUGUGCGCUGAUGUUGACACCUCUGAUGUCUGCUGGUGUAAAGUUGCUGCUGAGCCGCGGGUCUUCAUGCUCUUCUCUAGGCUGGACCCUCCUCCUCUUCCUGUAGGCCUCGCAGGUAUGCCGAGCUCAGCUGCUUCCAGGCCUCUCUUCUGACCUUUCCCAACAUGCACAUGGGCUUUUAUUUACUUUCAACCGCAGAUUGAUCAUGCAUGCUUCUCAGAGACGGGAGGACUGGAUGUUUGAGGAAUGCUGAUCAGCGCUGGACAUGCUCUAGUCUUAUCUGAAAUAUGAAAGCAUGCUUUAUCUUUAAAACAACACUUAUCCAGCAAAGGGAUUUAAGUAGGAAACUAUCAGCAUAAAAUUCUAGCCAAGAACCACCCAUUUAAAAAGGAAAGGGACUUCUGAUUGACAUGUAAAAUGACCAGUCACAGCCUGUCAUUUUGGGGUGGCUGAAUCUAAAAUUUUGAUUUUCCAGUUAGAAUUUCUAUGAAUUUGAUUUAAUUUCGCCAGAAAUUACAUAAUACAGCACAGGGGAUUC